rnacentral:tRNA from 1 species
GGGGCCAUAGCUCAGUUGGGCGAGCGCUUGAAUGGCAUUCAAGAGGUCAGGGGUUCGACUCCCCUUGGCUCCACCA